UCACUACCUUGGAAGCAAUCCAGUCCCUCCUUGCAGAUCUUCAUCCCCUGAUGUAGGACCAGUUCCUCUUUUGUUCCUUCAGCCCUAGGGCUUCGUGUGUGGAGGAACUGUGGUCAGCCAACUUCCUGUUCCUGCCCCCAUGCUUCCCCUGCCUGUUGCUGUGCCUGCUCUAUCAUGAUGAACUCUAUCUCUCUGGAAUGGCCUCUAACCCUAGGGUCUACAAGGCUGAGCCAAAACAAUUCCAUUUCAAGAUGACCCUGGCUACAGAACAAGUUCAAAGAAAACUCCAUCCUAAAAAGUAAAAAGAGGAUUAAGAAUAGCUUGGACCAUAGAGCCUGCCUAGCACAUGCAAGGUCCAAUUCCUAAGACCUCACCAAGCAAAACAAAACAAAUCGGUGGUUGAUUCUUUACCAUGGGAAGAACCCCUAAAUGGGUUAUUAGAAAACAAAACAAAAAUGUAUGCCUUUUGCCCUAGGAACCUAUGUAGGCAGCACACUUGGAAAGAUUCUUGUUUUACCUGCUUUCAUUUGUACAAAAGCCCUCACGGUUCUGCUUGCUCACCUUUGGCCUGUCACCCUCUGAGCAAGGGUGACUUCAUGCUCUUUUGACCUUCAGUGAGGAACUAAGAUUGUAUUCAGGUUCAUACCCAGGUAU
rnacentral:lncRNA from 1 species